CAUAUAUUUAAAAUAUCCCCACCCUCACAAUCAAAAGAUGCUUUUUUUUUUUUUAUUAGAGAAACCAUUUUGCCACACGCCCGGUGAGAGGAGGGGGUAGUUUGUCAUUUGUCGUUGGAAAUUGCUCGCUGUCAACCCCCCAAAGACGACAUUGCAUUCCUCCGUUCAUCAGUGAAAGGGAACGGAGUGACAUUGUGAGUUUCCUCUGGUGGGAUAAAGCCAAACAACAACAACAACAACACAAUGCAAUGGGAUGAUGGCAGAGUGAUUUCAGACACCGGCAUAAUUGAACCCAGAAGUAGCCUUUUGUUGACUUGUGGGGGAUUCACAGAGCGGCGGGCAGGUUAUAAUAGUCAGGUAAUUGACAUUCACAUUAUUCAGAUGACCUAGCAGGCACAAUACAUUACAUUAUGUUUAAUGGUCAAUUUCAGAUGAUAAACACCUUCACACCCCCGUGCAGAGAAUAACGGCCGUGCCGCGGCGGAGGGGAAAUGACGGGGGAAGACGCCGAGGCCUGUUCUGCACCUCGGAUGCAGCGGAGGUGGUGCGCAGUGGGCCGGCGGUGUAAGUGAAAUCUAAUUAAUCUAUCACAUCUAUUUCAGAUGAGCCAUUGACACCUUCCCUUUGAAGCCGCGCUGCUGCGUGGAUGUAGAUGCGUAUCAGCUGUGUCCGGCCCCUGGGUGCCUCAGAUACAAACACCGGAUGCUGUUAUCCUCCAUUGAGUGACACUGAUGCGUUAUGUGGGAUUGGCCAAGAUGGCCAGGCAAAAGCUACAAAUCUCCAUUUGCAAUGAGGAGAAAAUUCCAUAGGAUUAAUUUUCUGUAUAAGACCCCUGCCCAGACCCCCCAACCCCCACCCUGUCCACAACUUCAGCUGUGCAGCCCGGUGUUAAAAGACCCCGAGGAAUACUGUCUUUGUCAUCCUGCCGUUUGGGGACGAAGAAUAAGAGAAGUUUUAAUCCCCAUUGUCCGCGAGUCUGGUGGGGGGGUCGGCGGCUGUAAGAUGAUCCAACCGGCCACACUAAUCCCUCCAUACCACUUUCGCCUUCACAUCAAACCCCCCCUCCCUCCCCGCGCUCCCACAAAGCAGCGGUCUUGUGCGUUGGACCCCAAUGUGCAAAUUCUAAAGAGGAAAAUGGAGCAAAGAAAAAGUGGCAACAACAGAGCAGAAUAGACUUAAAGACAGUUGCACAGAAGAUAGGGUGAGCUCUGGGGCGAGGGAGGGGGCAUGGUGGGCUCCAUCCCUGCGAGAACACACGCUCCCCUCUGCUGCCAAUCUCCCCUUCAGGUCGGGCCCUGGUGCUGCUGCAGUUGCUCUUUUAUAGGUCUCUAUGGCAACCAAAAUGUUUCCCUGAAUCCUCCGUGUUUUCCAUUUUCUAAAAAGACCACAAGCCAGGGGGAAGGGGGACAGGUGCCACUCAGCCGAAUGCACAUGGGCUUACCAUUGUAAACAAAUACAGACUGUGAUACACCAUAUUGUUUCUGAUGGAUUAGCCAGUAAAACAAAAAGGCAGCCGAAUAUGAACAAAAAGAAAAAAGUGUGGAUUGUGCCUUUCAAGGGCUCUCUUUUCUGGAGGAUCAAAAGUGAUUUUUUAAGAAAUCGUCAUCAAAAUGUGAAUCUCAUUCCGGGAUCCUUAUAGAAGAGUUGACUUGAAUAUGCUCACACGGGACAGACUGGUUGCAUGCCUUUGUAAUCAAGCUGUAGCUAUUCAUGAUUUUGUACCAAUUUGGAAUGUUGUUUUAGCCAUCUCUAGAAACCCCACUGCCUCAGAGAUCUCCCUAAAACGAGCCGACAAGAACAAUGAUGAUGAUGAUGCUGAAUGUGACACGAGGCAUCGCGAGGAAAUGGGAUUCGCUUCCUCAUGAUGGUUGGAGCCACCAAAAGAAGUUUAGGGCCUUUAGCUCAAGGCCACUGAAGUCAUUGAGACAAAUUCACUGUGUGGCCUCUGGGGGUACACACACACACACACACACUCUACAGCGGCUCCGAUGAAGUUCGCUGUAACAGAGAGUGUGUUAGGAGUCAGGGCUGGGGCAGGGAGAGAAGACACAGGGGGGGUGAUGUGUGUGUGUUAGUGUGUGUGUCUGUGUGAGGGAGCCAGGAGACAGCCGUUUAAAAUUCUGUUUCCUGCAAGUGAGGAGGCUAAUCCUGCCCCCCCCCCCCCAUAAUUCCCUGCAGCCAAAGUACCCCUCCUUCCUCAACAUCACCACUCCCUUUUUCUCUACCUCGCUCUCCCUCCAUCUCGCCCAUUCUCUCUCCCCCCUCUUAGUGCACACUCCGUGAGUGACAGCACAAUGCCCGGGCCCUCGCACGCUUAUCUAACGCCAGCAGAUGGUCGACUUGGAUCAAUGCGCCACACCACCAUCAAUGGCUGCGAUAAAGAGCAGCAGGGACGGUACCCUCUCCCCAGCUCCCUCUCUCCUCCUAUCCACCUCGCCUCAUGCCCAUCUCUGUUGCCCCCCCUGUACAAUUGUUCCUCUCCGACGCUCCUUCAUCUGCAUCUGCGGUGGCACGUCCCGGCUGCGGGCCCUCCGCCGGUGCCGCCGCCCCUGCCGCGCGCGUGCCGUCCGCUGCAUCCAUCCCGACUCUCUCGACCUGGUCUCUGGGAGAAGUCUGAGCCCUCUCUGUAGCAGGCUUAUCGUGAGAUCAGUGCUUCAUCUCCUUCAACUUUCCUCACGCUCUCUUUCUCACAUGUUAACUUGUUGUCUUUGGCUGCCGCUGCCUCUGACCCUCUGUGCUUGUUCUGGAAUACACCGUUUUUGGACAUGUAGUUUCCAUCCUGUGAUGACCCAACCUCAUGCUCAUGUCCUCGUUCCCCCAAGGGAUGGAAGAUUUCGCCUUCAUAUCAAUAAUUCCUGCAGUUUUGUUUCACCCGAUGCGAUCAUAUGUAGUCCCAACGAGACGGCGAGGAGAAUGAGAUGAAUCAAAGUGGGUCAAAGACAGAGCUGUGAGGAGAAAGUGGAGCAGAAGUCUGACUGAGUGAAUCCCCAUAAGGAACUAUGGUUGGAAUUGGGCCAGGGUGCACGCUGCUAAACAAAUCUGAAUACGAUAAACUGAGUUUGCAUUCAGAUCUGAUUCGCCUACAAGAGUCAAAACACAGGUAACAACAACGUAAAACUGCUGUGGAGUUUCAAUCAGACUUUUUGCCAUCUCCGCAGGAGAUCACGCUGGUGUGUGUCGUGUGUGUGUGUGUGUGUGUGUGUGUGUGCGCGCUUGUCAGUCUGUCCUCACCAUAAACUACUGACACCGUUUCUUAUCGACUUCUGACUCCUCACUACUCGUACCUGGAAGGUUGAGGCGACAAGUGAUGGACAACUGCUUCAGGCUGUCUCUUGUUUCCGCGAUGGAUAACAAAUUCUCUCCCUCUUGAUUUGGACACCGUGAAAUCGCGCGCCGGCGGUCCCUGUGUGCUAAUAGAGGGCAACCUCACAACUGUGCAGCCCGGCUUACCGCAGGACUGAUCUGGCUGACCACACUCAGCUAUUGUCACAUGAGCUGCAGUCUGAAGACGCCGGUGUCCCCCCCCACACUACUUAAUCCUGCCUAAUUUGAGUGCAAAGAAAUUCACAUGUGCCAGUAAGAACAUUUACAGAGUACACUGCUUCUAUUUUCCUCCCUAAAAUAAAACAGAGCUUAAGCACUAAGCUUUAUUGAUCUUGCAACUUGAUAGUGUGAUUAAGGGGGAAGAUGUUGCCUUUAAAUAAGUAAACACGUUUAGGUUACAGGCCACGUUACGCCGCUUUAAAUCGGGAAUUCAUGAGCGUGGCUGUAGAUUCUGCAUCAAGGACCCCUCGGUGUUCUGAUGCCUGUGUGUGAAAAUAUGUGUAUGCAGUGUUUGUGUGCUCUUAGUGUCAGUUAACUGCGCUUAACUCUGCCUGCAAUCACUAACAUUUAACCAGUCAUCGUAGGGGAGGAGGGAUAUUUCAUGUGUAUUGGGAGAAAAAACACAGAGAGGGAGCCGUGGGCGCCAGAGAUGCAGAUUUGUCCCAACGGAGAUUUGAACACCUCCGUGCUGUGGGUGGGCAGACUCAUGGAAAGACACGGAGCUAAGGGGCUGCACGGCCACCCGGUAGAAGAGGCUCUACACCCUGGCGAUGGUAGGCAUUAGUUCAGCACCAGCUCUUCGGCUCACUCACACACACACACACACACACACACACACACUCACACACUAACAAACCCAAAGGCUGCAGAAGUAGCAGCUUUGAUCACUGAAUCACUGGCAGUGACGACAUUGAACACAUCCACCAGUUCCAUUUAACCCACUUCCACUAAAUCACAAAAACUCAAAAUUCAUUCCCCUCCUCCCCCCACACAACAAGGCUGUUUUUAUCCAGCGAGGUUCCAUCUCCAUUUAAAAAAAGGACAAAGCACCAUUCAGUGUCCGUGUAUAAGUGCCGUUUGGAACUGAAACUUCAUCUAUUAGAUAUACUGACAAUUCAAACAAAAGUAAAAACCCACACCAAGAAGCUGAGCGAAAAAAUGUUCCAUAUUUUCUGGAGAUUUAGUUCACAUUAAGCCAAAAGGUAACAAAAAUGAAAGUAAAAAGCCUCAGUUGACAAUGGCACUAUAAGUCAUUGUUUGCAAAACUGAAUGUAAUGUCUCAGAUCUCGUUGGCAUCUUUCUCUGGCAGCUUCACUCGCUUUCCUUUUUGUAUUUUCAUUGUGGAUUAUUGUUUACUGGCUUCAGCGUCUUAUAUCAGUGCCUCUCUUUCCUCAAAACACCUACUCAUUUGAGGAGUGAUUCAUUCCAGGCUAAAUCAUAUUCCCGAGGGAUUAGAGAAAUCUAAUUUGGUGAUAUUUCUGUCAUGCACACUGGAUGUAGUAUUCAAACAGUCUUCCCCUCCCCCUUUGCCACAAUUACAAACACACAAAUAAAAAACAAAUACACAUUGA